rnacentral:rRNA from 1 species
UCCGGUUGAUCCUGCCGAGAGGUUACUGCUAUCGAGGUUCGACUAAGCCAUGCGAGUCGAAUGUAGCAAUACAUGGCGUACUGCUCAGUAACACGUGGACAACCUACCCUUAGGUCGGGGAUAAACCCGGGAAACUGGGUAUAAUACCCGAUAGAUCUCGGCUGCUGGAAUGCACCGAGCUCUAAAGCUCCGGCGCCUAAGGAUGGGUCUGCGGCCUAUCAGGUAGUAGUGGGUGUAGCGUACCUACUAGCCUACGACGGGUACGGGUUGUGAGAGCAAGAGCCCGGAGAUGGAUUCUGAGACACGAAUCCAGGCCCUACGGGGUGCAGCAGGCGCGAAAACUUUACAAUGCUGGAAACAGCGAUAAGGGGACCUCGAGUGCCAGGUUACAAAUCUGGCUGUCGUGAUGCCUAAAAAGCAUUGCAUAGCAAGGGCCGGGCAAGACCGGUGCCAGCCGCCGCGGUAACACCGGCGGCUCGAGUGGUAACCGUUAUUAUUGGGUCUAAAGGGUCUGUAGCCGGCCGGAUAAGUCUCUUGGGAAAUCCAGCAGCUUAACUGUUGGGCUUUCAGGAGAUACUGUCUGGCUCGAGGCCGGGAGAGGUGAGAGGUACUUCAGGGGUAGGGGUGAAAUCUUGUAAUCCUUGAAGGACCACCAGUGGCGAAGCGUCUCACCAGAACGGACCUGACGGCAAGGGACGAAAGCUAGGGG